GUGAGGGAAAGAUGAAAAGAACUUUGGAAAGAGAGUUAAACAGUACGUGAAAUUGNUGAAAGGGAAACGCUUGAAGUCAGUCGCGUUGGCCAGGGAUCAGCCUUCCUUUUGGUUGGUGUACUUCCUGGUUAACGGGUCAGCAUCAGUUUUGACCGCNGGAUAAAGUCUAGGGGAAUGUGGCAUCUUCGGGUGUGUUAUAGCCUUUAGUCGUAUACAACGGUUGGGANUGAGGAACUCAGCACGCCGCAAGGCCGGGUCUUUGANCACGUUCGCGCUUAGGAUGCUGGCAUAAUGGCUUUAAUCGACCCGUCUUGAAACACGGACCAAGGAGUCUAACAUGCCUGCGAGUGUUUGGGUGGAAAACCCGAGCGC
rnacentral:rRNA from 1 species